CUAGACUGUGGUGAUUAAGCAAUUAGUUAGAUUAUACAGCUUUAUUGGGUGCUAAUAUAUGCACAUUUACUUGCUUGUAGGUAGGACAGGUAAGGUAGUGGAAUGCACCUGGCAUGAUAAGCACUGUGCAUUUUUCUGGUUGGGGUCUCUGGUAUUUUACCUCUGGGGGCACUGUACCACAUCAAUAGCAGAUCUUACAUUGGUGGAAUAAUAGAUCUAUCAGACAGAAAGAGAUGUCACAAGGAAGAAAAGAAAAAAAAAAAAGUAAAUAAAUUAAAAAAACAGCAAC